UAGUGAUUCAGAUUCUGAGAUACUGUACGGACAUAAUGGCAGAUCACAAGAAUAUGCAAGAAAAUUGGAUUUUGCAUAAUAGGAUACAAUUUGUAUCAAGUUUUUCGUACUAGUUUAAUAGUGGAAAUGCACUUAAAUUGUCUUUAUGGAAUAGUCAUCAUUCAUAUUUAAUUAUACAACGAACAAAGAUCAUAAAAUGGUAUUAAAAUGACACCUGAUAUGUAUAUUUGUAAAAAAAAAUACGAACAAUGUAUGUGUUAUCGUGAUAUACUGCGCAAAUUAAAUUAUAAAUCAAAAUGCAAGAUCUGCCAUAACCCGAAUAUAUUAUUUUAUUAGACUGGUACACAUCUGCAAGCUGAAGGAAAUCAAAAGACGACAAUGGAAAAUUUAUGACAAUGUUUUUUAAUUAAUUAAUCGUAUGGACAUUCGAUUUCAAUUCGGUUUCAACAGAUAUGAGUACAUUUCAGUUUUGAAUUUCAAUAAUUUCUGAAAACAACAUCAAUAGUCUUGAUGCCUUAAAUGAAUUAGAAUUGAUGGA